rnacentral:rRNA from 1 species
UACGUAAAAGACUAGUGUUAUUCAUCUUCAAUAGGUUUAAAGGGUGCGUAGGCGGGUCUUUAAGUCAGGGGUGAAAUCCUGGAGCUCAACUCCAGAACUGCCUUUGAUACUGAAGAUCUUGAGUUCGGGAGAGGUGAGUGGAACUGCGAGUGUAGAGGUGAAAUUCGUAGAUAUUCGCAAGAACACCAGUGGCGAAGGCGGCUCACUGGCCCGAUACUGACGCUGAGGCACGAAAGCGUGGGGAGCAAACAGG